UACGUAGGUGGCAAGCGUUGUCCGGAUUUAUUGGGUUUAAAGGGUGCGCAGGCGGUUGGGUGUGUCAGAUGUGAAAUCCCGAGGCUCAACCUCGGAACUGCGUCUGAAACUACUCGACUAGAGUACUGGAGAGGGUAACGGAAUUCACGGUGUAGCAGUGAAAUGCGUAGAUAUCGUGAGGAACACCAGAGGCGAAGGCGGUUACCUGGACAGUUACUGACGCUCAGGCACGAAAGCAUGGGGAGCAAAAGGG
rnacentral:rRNA from 1 species